GUGCUCACUUCAGCAGCAAAUGUACUAGAACUGGCACCAUACAGGAGAAGAUUAACAUGGCCCUUGCACAAGGAUGACAUGCAAAUUUGUGAAGUUUCUAUAUAGAAA
rnacentral:snRNA from 1 species